AGAGUUUGAUCAUGGCUCAGAAUGAACGUUGGCGGCGUGGAUUAGGCAUGCAAGUCGAGCGCGAUAUGUAGCAAUACAUGGAGAGCGGCGAAAGGGAGAGUAAUACGUAGGUAUCUACCCUCGGGUCUGGGAUAGCAGCGGGAAACUGCUGGUAAUACCAGAUAACGUCUCCGGACCAAAAGGUGUGAUUCCACCUGAGGAGGAGCCUACGGCCUAUUAGCUAGUUGGUAGGGUAACGGCCUACCAAGGCAAAGAUGGGUAUGGGGUGUGAGAGCAUGCCCCCACUCACUGGGACUGAGACACUGCCCAGACACCUACGGGUGGCUGCAGUCGAGAAUCUUCGGCAAUGGGCGAAAGCCUGACCGAGCGACGCCGCGUGCGGGAUGAAGGCCUUCGGGUUGUAAACCGCUGUCGUAGUGGAGGAAAUGUAGGAGAGUUAUCUCUUCUACUUGACUAAUACUAGGAGGAAGGACCGGCUAAUCUCGUG
rnacentral:rRNA from 1 species